ACCCAGGGAAGUUUGAUUUUUAGCCAUGGAAUUCCAUAUCGGACAAUGUAGUAAUACUCUUUCAAAACUAGUCAUAGCAAAAAUCUGAGUUGUGGUGCAGAAAAAUGAACAGUGUUCAAGAAAAUAAAUCGUAUUCCAUAUGACAUACAUGUAUCACUGUAUAACACCGCACGUUCGGUCGAAUUGUUAUCCUAGUGUAGCAGGUAAAGGCUAGUGCAAGUGUAUUCUAAAGCUAACCAAAGUGCGAAUCACGUGACAUAUGUUGGUAGUGAACUCGUGUUCAUUCAGUAGGCAGUCAGUAAAGCACGAAGAAGGAAGCAAAGCGAACCAUCGAGGAAGAACAAAGGCUGACAAGUCUAUGAUUGGUGAUCUACACCUUCUUCAUAACCCAAGUUUUUUCUGAUGUCUGCCAUCAUUCCAGUUGACUCUCACAGUGGUGAACUUUAUAACAGCUGUCAGAAUGGGAACCAGAACAAUUACCUCAGUGAAAGCCAAAACAUUUUCAUUUUUCAACAAACCAAUGCAAAUCAUGUGACACUUGCUGAGAGUGCAUGACAGUUGGUAAAGGACCAGAAAAACGAACACAAAGCAAGGAAGGAAGACUUGAGAGCAGAGACUUUCAUUAUUUCCAUGCAUGGAAACUGAAAUGAUGACGGUCCUUGUGUAGAGAUCUAGACACUUUGUUCACAAGGUGAUGUGAAAUGGUGCGAAGUGUUGUGUAUGUCUUCUGCCUUCACUCUACUAAACCACUACUGCAUGGAUCUUCAGUACCUUCAGUUAGUACCGGAACUGUGAUGACACUGAGGAAAUAUUCUACAAUUUUCACCAUGGUUACGGUUGAAUAGGGAUUCCCACAUAGCAAUUGCUGUACCGUGUAAUGCCAGCAUGUAUGUUUUUCUAAGCAAGCCACAGUGUGUCUAGGUGGAAGCUGUGCAUCUGGACAGGAUGAGAGAGGUUGUAUUCCAAUGGCUGUAAGCAUGAAAUCACCUGGUCUUGUGCAGAAGACAUCUAUGAAUUGAUCAACCAGAUGUAUACCUCUAAUUUAAAGUCUGUACAAGAGAACUAUAUGAGGAUGAUAGCCAAGAAAUACUGCAUUCAGCACGUCAUAUCAAUCCAACUGAAGGACAAAGUAUCCAUUGAUGUAGUUGCAUCUUAGCAAAGAAGUUAACUUGGAUCUGCUUCACAGGGAGUCAUUGAUGAUCAACUAAGUAGUAGGAUACAGUUUUCUGAUCAGAUGAAAUCGCUUUAUCUUAUCUGGCUGGAAUUUAAAGAGCUGAGACUACCAUCAGGAAAAUCUACCAUGUAAUAACACUAACCCAGAACAUUGCUACUGAGUCUACCACACAAUAUGCUGACUAGGAAAUUGCUAUUGAGUCUACCACACAGUAAUGCUGACUAGGAAAUGGCUAAUGAGUCUACCACACAGUAACAUGAACCCAGAGCAUUGCUACUAUGUCUUCCAUAUAGCAACACUAACUCGGAACAUUGCUACUGAGUCUACCACACCGUAACACUGACCAAGAACAUUGCUACUGAGUCUACCACACAGUAACUUGCUACUGAAUCUGCCACACAGUAAUGUGGACAAGGACAUUGCUAUUAUGAGUUUCCAUGCAGUAACACUGACUUGAGUAGUCCACACAGGAAAAACACACAGUAACAUUGACUUAGGAUGUUGCUACCGAGUAUUCCACACUGUAAAACUGACCCCAAAGUUUAGCUUUUCUAUGGAAAAUUCAGACAGAUAACUGAAGUUACCUGUCAAUAGUUGUAAUAAAAUCGUUAUUAUCAGUUUAUGUUAACACUCCUGAUACUGAAGGCUGGACUCUGCAGAACACUGCGGAGAUAAACAUGCAACUCGCUGUGUGACAUUAGUGCAAAAAAAUUUUAAAUGUGACCGUGAUAUAUAGACAUUAAAAUUAUUUUAAGUAACAUUCAAGUAAUGGUCAAAGGUGGUAGUGAAAACUCACUGAAUGUGACAUCAAAGUUUAGAUGACUGAGAAAGAAAGACAGUUAUACCUACUGGUAAAAAUCUAUAAGAUUAGAUAUUAAAAUAAUGUUUAAAAGUGACAGUAGAUACAGUAAAAUGUGAAUAAUAUGUGUUUUGAUUGAUAAUGUCAAAUAAUAAAGGGUAACUCAUU